rnacentral:rRNA from 1 species
GCUCGCCAAACAACUACGAGUGAAAACUUAAAACUUAAAAGACUUGACGGUACUUCACCCAACCUAGAGGAGCCUGUCCACUAACCGAUAAUCCACGAUUAACCCAACCACUUCUGGCCGCCCAGCCUAUAUACCGCCGUCGCCAGUCUACCUUGUGAAAGCAACCCAGUAGACCAAAUAGUAAUGCACUAACACGACAGGUCGAGGUGUAGCUCAUGAAGUGGGCAGGAUGGGCUACAUUGUCUGACACAGACCAAACGGACAAAAUUAUGAAAUUAAUUUAAAAGGAGGAUUUAGCAGUAAGUUGAGAACAUAAUACUAAACUGAAACUAACGCAAUGAAGUGCGUACACACCGCCCGUCAUCCCUGUCACAUAAAUCUUUAACACUAAAUAAAACAAAACCAACAAAACAAACAGGGCAAGUCGUAACAUGGUAAGCGUACUGGAAAGUGCGCUUAGAAA